rnacentral:rRNA from 1 species
CCGGUCUGAACUCAGAUCACGUAAGAGUUAUUUGGGCGAACAGACCAAUCCUUAUAAAUUUUUCUUUACAAGUUAUUCUUAAUCCACAUCGAGUCGCAAUUUAUCUUGUGAAUAAGAGCUUCUCAAAAAUUUUGCGCUGUUAUCCCUUAGGUAACUUGUUUUAAUUCUUAUUUGGAUAAUUUAACUUGAAGUAAUUCAUCUUACUAUAUUUAAAGAUUUAUUUAUUUAAAAAUCUCCCCAACUUAAUAAGUCAAUCUAAUUAGCAUAAUUUAACUUAUAAAAUUCUAAAGGGUCUUCUUGUCUUUUGGUUUAAUUUAAGAUUUUUCACUUAAAUAUUAAUUUUUACUGUUUUAAUUUAAAAAGUUUGUUUCACAUUGUUUCUUUCAUGCAAGCUUCUAAUUAUAAAGCAACUUAUUAUGCUACCUUAGUACAGUUAAUUUACUGCAGCUAUUUAAAUUUGUCAUUGAGCAGAACUUAUCUAAAAUUCUUUUCUUUAGACUAUGUUUUUGUUAAACAGGCG